GCGUAGGAAUCUACCCAGUAGUGGGGGACAACUAGUGGAAACGCUAGCUAAUACCGCAUACGCCCUAAGGGGAAAGCGGGGGAGUCUUCGGACCUCGUGCUAUUGGAUGAGCCUGCGUAAGAUUAGCUUGUUGGUGGGGUAAUGGCUCACCAAGGCGACGAUCUUUAGCUGGUCUGAGAGGAUGAUCAGCCACACCGGGACUGAGACACGGCCCGGACUCCUACGGGAGGCAGCAGUGGGGAAUAUUGGACAAUGGGGGAAACCCUGAUCCAGCGAUGCCGCGUGAGUGAAGAAGGCCUU
rnacentral:rRNA from 1 species